AUAUGUAUAUAUAUAUAUAUAUAUAUAUAUAUUAAUAUUUUGGCAAUGCUAUGGUAAAAAAUCGUAACCGAUCAGUUGAUGUGACUAAAAAAGUAUUAUUCACGAUUUAAAUUGUAGCAAAACAAGAAAGUUAUUUGGCUGCAGGCAAUAGAUUCAAUAUAGAUAAAAGUAGAACACGGUAUAUUGAAAGAAAUUUCAGUAUUAACUGAUUUAAUAUCUAAUUAUAUUGUAUGGUUAGAUAUAAGCAAAUGCAACAUGUCAUUUAGUGUACUAUAAAUAAUACUUUAAUAUAGCACAGUAACAAGAGUAGAAACUUUUGUAUAGUAUAAAAAAUAAUGCUUUCCAUAAAUAAUAUCUUAUUAAAUAAUAUUUUAUUUUUUAGAUCUUCCAUACCAGCGCGUUCCUGUAGUAUUCCAGGUGUCAUAGAUACAAUUGACUAUCAUAUACAAUGUAAAGCACUAGCUUAUAAUGCCAAUGAUUUUUAUGUAAAGAUGAGUGUAUGUAGCUUCAGGAAUUUUUUAAUGAACAAAUGAAUUUUUUGGCUGUUGAAGCAAAACACAGUUUUUGGAGUGUGUAUUUAUUUUAAUCCGUUUAUUAAAAAACUAUAGCAUAAACGUUUUUGACCUUUCUAUUAGGUCCUUAUCAAAUGCAUGUUUACAAAGAAUUAAGAUAGAAUCCGAUAAAUGAAAUUUGAAAAUAAUUAAUUAAGAAUCGCAGAAUAAAACAAUAUACAAAGUCACUUACAAAAAUCUUAGCUAUUAUAUGUCGCUGAGUGCUGAUCUUGGAUGUCCAUGUCGCACAAGCCGUCCCGACCAACACUUUACAAAAGUGAAUACGCGACUGAGAAACAAACGUGUGUAUAAAGAUAGAAGUAAAAUCUACAAAUAACAUAACACUUUAUGAUGUCUUAUCGACAAACGGUAAAUAUGAAUUGUCUAAAUUUUCCGUGUCACACUGUAGAUUAAGUCCGCAGACUUGACUUCUUAUAUGUAGCAUUUCUGAUACCAAUCUUUUGCUGUAAGAUCUAUCAUAAUCAAAUAUUUCUACUCUGUCCCACUCAAAUUCAUUUUGUCUUACAUACGAAGCUUCACAUUCACGGCACUUGAUCUUGUAUACUAUCGAAGGAUGUGAGAGAAGGGGCAAAGGAUCCUUAAGAACUUCGAUAAAUUUAGCCAGUUUGUCGAGAUUGUAAUAAGCUAAACGCGUAUGUGAUUCUGAAGGAAGUAUUUUUGAAAAUCUCUCCGAAUAUUUAUUGAUUCUAAGAAUAAAAUUAUCAUAUAUGAAGUCCAUAGGAUAGUUAUUGUCAAUUAAUAAAUUAAAAAUAAAGUCUAACUUUUUGGAAUGGAAUCUAGGAUGUGAUAAAAAGAAGGCUCUGUCUACGAGGCUGAUGAUCGUGCCUCUUUUUUUUGGCAAAUAGGAUGGUUAGAAAAAUAGUUCAGCAUCAAAUUGCUUUUUAGGAACCAUGAGAGCUAUGUCAUCGACGUAUCUGACAUGUAAAGGUAGAUGGAAAGAGAGAGAUUCACAAAUGGAUGUUUCAAGAUCCUGCAUUACAAUGUCUGCAAGGAUCGGAGAGAGUGGAGAACCAAUAGGAGCACCAAAGAUAAUUGAGUAUUGAAAAAUUCUUUGUAGAGCUGAAACGGCAAGGUAUAUAUGAUAGAUUUAUUGAUUAUAUAUAUUUUGUUGAUAAUAAAUGAGCGGUAUCUAUAAAAGUCGAUGAUUUCAAGCCGUAGAAUGCUGCGCGCAAGUGUUGCUCGUUUGUUGUCAAAAACACAUCGUUGUUUGUAUUUAUAAAAGAUGACUCUUGGAAAGUCAACACGAACGAUAAUAUAAAUGUUGCAAUAUCCAAUGAUUUUUAUAAUAGGAAAGGAUUCUAUUCUAUUAUUUUGCAAAGUAUGUACACUCACUGUAAUAUAUAGUUAAAAAUAUUAUGUAUGUAUUUUUUGUGUUAGUUAAAUGUAAUAUCCUAUAAUACUUUGGAUUUAUAGGUGUGACUAUAUAAAACGCGUUUUAUUAACAAUUUAUUGGAUUACCAGGACGAAUGCAUAACGCUCGUUGUGUUUUUAGAUAGUACUUUAUAUAAACAAAUAACAAAUACAAAACAACCUGUAUUACCGCCACAACUACUCUAAUUGAAUUAAACUCUAAUUGAAGAUGUAUAUCCCUAUCAGUAUAUCCCCUAUUAGUUAACUUAAUGACACCGUUUCGAGAUGCGGGUCAUUUAAGUAAAGAGCAACUAUUGUAUAAUACAAAACUGUCUUGUAUACGUAGCAUAAUUGAAAAAACCUUUGGUUUCUUGAAAGGUAAGUUUCAGAGACUUCGUUAAUUAGACAGUAUUAAUUUCAAACUUAGUCAAAAAAUUGAUUGGCGCUGUAUGUGUUACACAAUUUUAUGAUUGACAAAGAAAAUCUCAAUAUUAAAGAAGACUAUUAUUAUUAAGAAUAUUAAAGAAGAGAUAUAGAAAAUGAAGUAUUAGUAAACAUUGCUGAGAAUAAAUAUCCAAAUGAUAGAAAUACUAUGGCAAUUACAGAACGGAAUAACAUAAUGUAUCAAUUAAGAGAAAAAAUAAAGUAUGUAUUUAAAAAUUCUGUAUUUAUUUUAAACGUAAACUAUAUAAACGGUAAUAAGAGCCGUAUGUACACUGGAUGUUGUUGCGGAAAUAUACAUAUAUAUAUAUA